UACGUAGGGGGCGAGCGUUGUCCGAAGUUACUGGGCGUAAAGAGCGUGUAGGCGGCCAUACAGGUCCGUUGUGAAAACUCGAGGCUCAACCUCGAGACGUCGAUGGAAACCGUAUGGCUAGAGUCCGGAAGAGGAGAGUGGAAUUCCUGGUGUAGCGGUGAAAUGCGCAGAUAUCAGGGAGAACACCCGUGGCGAAGGCGGCUCUCUGGGACGGUACUGACGCUGAGACGCGAAAGCGUGGGGAGCGAACAGG
rnacentral:rRNA from 1 species